GAAUCUUAAAUGAGUCGAGUAUAACCUUGUUAAGAUCUGUGUUACUUGGACUCGCCACUUUUGGAUGGAGUACCUGUGUCGACACGACACGACACGGAUACGGGUGCGGGAUUCGUACGGGAUUCGGCCACAUAAAUUCGGAUACGGCUGUUUUGGGAAGAAGAGCUGUGAAGAGGAAGAAGAGCCAUGAAGAAGAAGAAGAAGC
rnacentral:lncRNA from 1 species